CGCGUGUGGUGCCGUCGCUAUUCAAUCCUGCUGCCGGCGCAGAGACAACGAAGAGCAAGAGGGCCGAUUCUUUGCAGCAGCAUGUUCGCACAACUCGGCCGCCACCCGGUAUGUGCUUCGUGUCGCGUGCUGCGUGCAUCAAGACCUGCGUGCCGCUCUUCUGUCCGCGCGGUGGCAUCGUCGACGCGCGUGUGCUAUGCGUUACCGAACAAGGGCACCGGCGCCACUAUUGCAUCCCCUCCCUUCCAAGGCGAGGCGUGCACGUAUCCACCUAUCUCCCCCACUCCCGGCGCAAGUGACACGGUCUCCAUUGGGCAGCGCUUGUACUCUUUGACCCAAUUCUGCACGAAGGUCUGUUUGGGUCCCAAGCGUGACGAUGCCGAGCUGGAAAGACUGGCCACGGAGGCCUGGAAUUUGCUGCAGUCCAUCUCGGAGGAAGAGGUAGAAGCGCUGCCUCUGCGCGAUGUGGCUGAGAUCGUCGUUGCGUACAACCACUUUUGCGGCUUUUGGGCGAACGGGUUGAACGGCCCUGCGAGGGCAGUCCGAGACGGAAAGUCAUCGGGGCAGGUAUCCACGUCGUCGUCGCAGUUUGGCGUAGAUGAGCAACCACAAACUUAUCCGAUCAUGGAACGCUUCGAUGUAGCAUCGGGCAACGGUGAGACGCUGUUGAAUAAGGCGGUGCCACAACCGCUAGAUGGGUGCGAGGUACCGGUGAGGCGUGCAAGCCCCCUUGACGAGAUUCUGGAGUUCUAGGUGUUACCCUCACGCAUCCGUGCGAUCUUUGACGUAGUGAAGAAUAUUCAUCUUGGCCAUGAGUUCUUUUGGUGCUUGGCUGUUGGCGUCUGUCCUCUGUACUCUCUCUGCCGCAAGAAAGGUGAGGGGAAGUGCGAGCGUUGAUUCUGUGUACACGUCGCCGGUGCGGCACGCGAACCCGGAAGAAAACAUCGCUGAUGAUUGCGGGUGAGGUGGCUUCUCUCUGUGGUUGUUUUGCCGUGGCUGGGUGGCCGGGUCGUGCGCCGCAUGGCAACGGUGUUUCACUGUAAUUCUGCAGGACACCACUACAGGAAGCGCAUGUAACAGCAGCUGUUCCUCCCCCUACGUGUUAAUACGUGUCUGCGCCUGCGUUGGUCGUACUGUGAGCCGUGGUGCCCAACACUGCGCCAUGGCGGUGCUCUUCCUCACCGUCCAUUGCAGCAAGGGAGGGCAACCGCUAUUCUGUGAUGUUUCCUCUUUCUCUCUUCAUGCGCCGUGUGCGCCUCCCUUUCACGCCGCCCCUUCGCCCUUUCUGUCGGUUUCGCCACUGGCACGCGUUCGCCCCCUUUUGGCAG
rnacentral:misc_RNA from 1 species